GAUGAAGAACGUAUCGAAAUGCGAUACGUAAUGUGAAUUGCAGAAUUCAGUGAAUCAUCGAGUCUUUGAACGCACAUUGCGCCCUCUGGUAUUCCGGAGGGCAUGCCUGUCCGAGCGUCAUUGCUGCCCUCAAGCACGGCUUGUGUGUUGGGCUCCGUCCCCCGAUCCCGGGGGACGGGCCCGAAAGGCAGCGGCGGCACCGCGUCCGGUCCUCGAGCGUAUGGGGCUUUGUCACCCGCUCUGUAGGCCCGGCCGGCGCUUGCCGAUCAACCAAAUUUUUAUCCAGGUUGACCUCGGAUCAGGUAGGGAUACCCGCUGAACUUAAGCAUAUCAAUAAGCGGAGGA
rnacentral:misc_RNA from 1 species